CGGUCACAUCAUUGAAACAUUGGUUCCCGUACAAUCACUGAAGUUAAGCAAAGUCGAGCCUGGUCAGUACUUAGAUGGGAGACCGCUUCAGAAUACUACAUUCUGU